CCUUCGGGUGGCUGCAGUAGGGAAUAUUGCUCAAUGGGGGAAACCCUGAAGCAGCAACGCCGCGUGGAGGAUGAAGGUUUUCGGAUUGUAAACUCCUUUUGUUAGAGAAGAUAAUGACGGUAUCUAACGAAUAAGCACCGGCUAACUCCGUGCCAGCAGCCGCGGUAAUACGGAGGGUGCAAGCGUUACUCGGAAUCACUGGGCGUAAAGAGCGCGUAGGCGGGAUAGCAAGUCAGAUGUGAAAUCCUAUGGCUUAACCAUAGAACUGCAUUUGAAACUGGUAUUCUUGAGUAUGGGAGGGGUAGGUGGAAUUCUUGGUGGAGGGGUAAAAUCCGUAGAGAUCCAGAGGAAAACUCAAUGCGAAGGCGACCUGCUAGAACCUAACUGACGCUGGUGGGCGAAAGCGUGGGGAGCAAACAGGAUUAGAUACCCUAGUAGUC
rnacentral:rRNA from 1 species